UUGUUUAGGGACAUAACUUUGGUUGUACUGAACAAAAGUGAUAAUAGGUUUUUAAGAUCAAUUAAUCCUAAAGCACUAUCAUGUGGAUGUAGUAUUUUAGGUGUCAAUCCAAAUGGGUGUGAUGCAAACAAAUGAGAUGUGAUCAGAAGUCAUGAAGUCAAGCCAAGCAAUAACAGUUUUGGGGUUUCUAACAGUCCUAAGCGAACAUGUAGAAAACUGAAACAUUAUCAA
rnacentral:sRNA from 1 species